rnacentral:Y_RNA from 1 species
GGCUGGUCCAGAGUGCAGUGGUGUUUACAACUAAUUCACAACCGGUUACAGAUUCCUUUGUUCCUUCUCCACUCCCACUGCUCCACUUGACUAGCCUUUA